rnacentral:rRNA from 1 species
GACAGAGGGGGCAAGCGUUGCUCGGAAUUACUGGGCGUAAAGGGCGCGUAGGCGGGCUGGCAAGUCGGUCGUGAAAUCCCUCGGCUCAACCGAGGAACGUCGAUCGAUACUGCUGUUCUUGAGGAUUGCAGAGGAGACUGGAAUUCCCGGUGUAGCGGUGAAAUGUGUAGAGAUCGGGAGGAACACCGGUGGCGAAGGCGGUUGCCUGGAGCUUUGCUGACGCUGAGGCGCGAAAGCGUGGGGAGCGAUCCGG